rnacentral:rRNA from 1 species
UCCACAUGGUUAAUAACUACCCCUCUUUCUAAGGGGCGUUUACCUAGCCAACACUUAGAUCCGGCUCUACCCAAACUUUUUUGGUUCACCCCAACAUUAUCCACUUGUUCGACUAUUGCUAAGUAGUUCUGGGAUACUAAACGAACCUCCCCAGAUGGUAAUAUUAAAGCGGCUGAUUUACCCUCUUUUGCAGUGAGUUUCGCUACAACACCAGCUGCUUAG